AUUGAACGCUGGCGGCAUGCCUUACACAUGCAAGUCGAACGGUAACGGGCCUUCGGGUGCCGACGAGUGGCGAACGGGUGAGUAAUGUAUCGGAACGUACCUUUCAGUGGGGGAUAACGUAGCGAAAGUUACGCUAAUACCGCAUAUUCUGUGAGCAGGAAAGCAGGGGAUCGCAAGACCUUGCGCUGAUUGAGCGGCCGAUAUCAGAUUAGCUAGUUGGUGAGGUAAAGGCGCACCAAGGCGACGAUCUGUAGCGGGUCUGAGAGGAUGAUCCGCCACACUGGAACUGAGACACGGUCCAGACUCCUACGGGAGGCAGCAGUGGGGAAUUUUGGACAAUGGGGGCAACCCUGAUCCAGCCAUGCCGCGUGAGUGAAGAAGGCCUUCGGGCUGUAAAGCUCUUUCGGCCGGGAAGAAAUCGUAUCAGCUAAUACCUGGUGCGGAUGACGGUACCGGCAUAAGAAGCACCGGCUAACUACGUGCCAGCAGCCGCGGUAACAC
rnacentral:rRNA from 1 species